GGAGAGAUGCCCGAGAGGCCGAAGGGGCACGAUUGGAAAUCGUGUGUCCCGAAAGGGACCGUGGGUUCGAAUCCCACUCUCUCCGCCA
rnacentral:tRNA from 1 species